rnacentral:piRNA from 1 species
UGGCUGGAAAGAAAGUAGAAUAUGUGUUAU